rnacentral:rRNA from 1 species
UACGUAGGGCGCAAGCGUUAUCCGGAAUUAUUGGGCGUAAAGAGCUCGUAGGCGGUUUGUCGCGUCUGCCGUGAAAGUCCGGGGCUCAACUCCGGAUCUGCGGUGGGUACGGGCAGACUAGAGUGAUGUAGGGGAGGCUGGAAUUCCUGGUGUAGCGGUGAAAUGCGCAGAUAUCAGGAGGAACACCGGCGGCGAAGGCGGGUCUCUGGGCCAUAACUGACGCUGAGGAGCGAAAGCGUGGGGAGCGAACAGG